ACUCAAAGGAAUUGACGGGGGUCCGAACAAGCGGUGGAACAUGUGGUUUAAUUCGACACUACGCGAGGAACCUUACCUGGGUUUGACAUACUUGAGACAGCUUUAGAGAUAGAGUCUUUCGAGAGCAAUCUCGAACUCAAGAACAGGUGCUGCAUGGCUGUCGUCAGCUCGUGUCGUGAGAUGUUGGGUUAAGUCCUUUAACGAGCGCAACCCCUGUCGUUAGUUGCUACUUGCUUUGCAAGGCACUUUAACGAGACUGCUUGGGAAACCAGGAGGAAGGUGGGGAUGACGUCAAGUCAGCAUGGUCCUUAUGUCCAGGGCUACACACGUGUUACAAUGGUCGAAAACAACGGGGCGCAAUUCCGCAAGGAGGAGCAAAUCCUUAAAAUCGAUCUAAGUUCAGAUUGAGGUCUGCAAUUCGACCUCAUGAAGUUGAAAUCGCUAGUAAUCGCGUAUCAGAACGGCGCGGUGAAUACGUUCUCGGGCCUUGCACACACCGCCCGU
rnacentral:rRNA from 1 species